rnacentral:lncRNA from 1 species
CUAAUGAGUUCUUGUAUUAACUGAAUAGCAAUUUUUAAAAUACCAGGGGUAUCCUGGACUAAGCCAUCUUCCCCUGUAUGGCUAGAAUUUUUUUUUCUUCAUCCUCCUCUUAUUGGCUACUGCCUAGAAAUAUUUGGUAUUCUUAUCUCCUUCCACACUAUCUUUUUCUCUUGAUCUCUAUCUAAUUUUUAAUCUCUUCCAACUACCAGAGUGUAUUAAGCUCUGUCGUCACCUCUUUCAUCCUAUGUUUUUCCUUAUCUUGUAAAUGUUUGGUUUCAGACAUAAUGUCCAGACAGUUAUACUCUGUCACCGUACUUAGCUUAUCAGAGUUGAAUCUGACCAAAUUGAAAUCUCCUCCUACUAAUGUAGGCGAGGUAAAAGAAAAAACAGAAUGCAACUCCUCUAGGAAUUCCUGCUUAUAUGAUCAUAUGCUAACCCAUAAACAACAAUAAAAGUUCAAAGGAAACCAUCUACUUUAUUUGUAGAGAAAAUUACUUAAAACCACCACAUUUGGGACACGUGCUUAGGAAAACCACAUUUAAAAAAAAACAAAAUUACCACCACUUUAUCGGUCCGUUGUACUCCCGCGCACUGAUUUCUCUAUUGAUUGCGUUUUGACACGAAAACUGACAAGCGGGGGCCCACCUGUCAGGUACACGUCAACUCCAUGCUGGCCUAGGCCGUCCACCGUGUCCGGACCAGACCCUGACCCAUCGAACCCGACCGCGAGCCCAAAAUGGUGAUAAAAAAACUUCAAAGCUGAUAACCCGAUAAUCACAAUAAAUGUUAUGCUUCUAUUGUAUCUAUAUGAAUUGUGUCAUGUUGAUUGUUUCCCUUAAGUCUAACCAAAGAAGUAAACUAUUCUUGGCAUGGUGUUCUCUCAAGCCUAGCCUCAUCAACUGUAUGAUCUAGCGGUCAUAACACAUUUAACUCUGCUUUAACAUAAAGAACUGCUUCUUAUAUCAGGCACCAAGCAUUGAUUAUGUAACCAAGAACAUUACUUUGGAAGGUCAAAACAUGGGAGUUUCAGAAAAGUCAGGUUUGGACAAUCAUACCCAAGACAGCUUGUUUCUUGUAAUUUGUUAUUGUUUGUCUCCCAAAAUCCUAAUCUAUGUUCUCCGCAAAAAAAUAAUCCUGACCCAUGUAUUUCUAAUUUCAUUGAAGGAGGCAUCACCGAGAACAACAUUGAUCAGAUGUAUGAUUCACUACAAUCAAUUCAGAAAACGCG